rnacentral:ncRNA from 1 species
CUCUGUUUCGAAAAGAAUCAGGGCGGAAGGAG